rnacentral:lncRNA from 1 species
AUGCAGUGGAGAACACAUUUAAGCAGUACCAGGCGGUCCUGACAGAGAUCUCUGAACUCGUCCCUGAGACUCAGAGUCUGAAGCAGCAGAACACAGAGCUGCGGAUGUUGCUACAACAGUCUCUUAACUCAAGAGUCAGCACAGAGCUGGAGAUGCUGUAAUCCAAACUCAACUUGGAAUCAGCAGAACUGGGGCAGUGUGUGGAAUCAUCCUAAUGUACAUUUACUAAAAUAAAGCCU